CCGGGCGGGGCGGGGGCACGGGGGGACUCCUACGGGAGGCAGCAGUGGGGAAUAUUGGACAAUGGGCGCAAGCCUGAUCCAGCAAUGCCGCGUGAGUGAUGAAGGCCUUAGGGUUGUAAAGCUCUUUCGCACGCGACGAUGAUGACGGUAGCGUGAGAAGAAGCCCCGGCUAACUUCGUG
rnacentral:rRNA from 1 species